rnacentral:lncRNA from 1 species
AUAAAAAAUGUCCACAGACAUCACUAAAUGUCCCCUGGAGAGGGGAGGAUAGGCAAAAUUGCCCCGGUUGAGAACCACUAUGUUAUAGCAAUAAGGCCAGAGCCUCUCAAGGGCAAGGACUGGGCAAGUGACCUCUGACAGGCAGUUCAGUCCAGUGACCCGUCCGGGAAACCAGGCUGCACCUUCGGAACUGUGUGAUCUUGCUUAGGAAGCCUAACCUCCCCGGGCUUCAGUGUCAUGCUCCAAAAUACAAUAAUAACGGCCAAUACAUGCUCACGGUGGGCCCCGUGCCAAGCACCUUGCACCAGCUUUCUCAUUGAACACAAUGUUUUUCCCAUUUAAUUGUCACAACGUUUUUCUAGAAAAACGUAUCGAUCACCCCGUAUCGAAAAAAGUAUCGUCCCUAUCUUACAGAUGAGGAAAUUGAGACCCAGAGAGGUUGGGCAACUUGCUCAAGGACACACAGCCAGAAGGCAGGCAGUUUGACCCCAGGGACCCCAGUCUGAGCCACAGUUCUGUUCUCUCUCCCUCAAAGAGGGGCUUGGGCCUGACACAACCUUUGGAGUCCUUUGUCAUUCCACAACUGUGCCAUUCUUCUGACGCUCUUGCUAUGGAAAGAAUGUUCGCUGGGUGUCCUGUAUCCUUUGUGUCCCCUGGCCCUACCCCCCAGGACGCAGCCUGCUCAUGCUUCCCCUCAUUCUAUAUGCUCUGCCUAUACUCUGUGUGCUGUGCUAGGAUCCCUGCUUUCAGUAAGAUAUGGAAUUUACCCUCUGGUGAGGAAGUAGAUAUCAAAUAGCUCAUUAGACUUUGUAUUUAUGACUGUGAUCAGGACUAAGAGGGGACUCACCCAGCCCAAAGGGUCAGGGGAGGGACGACCUAGCUGCUCGAUAAUGGGUGUGCAGGGGUUAAACCCAUGAGGUCGAGGGAAGCCAGCUCCCAGAGAGAGAGCUCUGUGCAUCUACCCCAGGAGGAACAGAACAUGGAACGCUGCUUGGACUAGAAGCCAAAGGGAAGAGGGUGCAGGAGAAGGCUGAGGAAGUGGGCAGGCCGUCUGGAUCCUGGCAAGAAUUUCUACCUUUGUCCUAGAAGCACCAAGAGGCCAGCAGAGGGUUUAAAUAAGGGGGUGACAUAACCAGAUGAGAAUAUUUCCCGGAGCAACUAUGGUAGGCUCUGGAAAGAUCAGGGCUCAGGGCAGCAAGAGAAAAUUCAGAGAGGGGGUCGGUUGGGGCAUGGAGCUGGUCCUGGGGUGGGGGGGGGGCGGCAGCAGGGGACAGAGAGAAGUGCCAGGUUCCAGGGAGAGUUAACAUGCAGAGUCUAGGGGAACAGGUGGGGCUGCAGUGGGGACGCUGGGUGGACAGCUGAGGGUGGUGCUGAGUGCAGGACAAGGGUGCACAGGAUGUGGACCUGUUGCAUUUGGGGGUCCUAUGCAUGACAACACUGGACUGAAUGACUGACCUACCAACUGGCUGGCUGACAAGUGGCACUGAGACCCCUCUCCUGCAGUGAGGGCCCCGCUGACCUAGGGCACACUCAGGAUGGGAACACAUAGGCCUCGGAGAAGGCACACGGGCAGGCAGCAAAGCCCGGGGGAAAGGGCCCCAGUAUGAAAAUGGAAGUUAUUAUCACUAUUACCUUAUCAGAUCUGACAAGAUCAUAGUCAAAGGUGGGGCCGCUGCAGCCUGUAAUACAAUAUAAAUGGGCUCUCGGGUGGCAGUUGGCUGUGGCAUUGAUUCUUAUUCACUCGGAAGCUAAAUCACAGUGCUAAUGUGAAACAUGUGUGAAAUAUCCCUUUUUCAUGCACUGGCAAUGAAAGGGCUCCACAAAUCUGUAGCCAAAUGAACGUGCUUAUGAGUAAUGGGAGUCUGCACAUGGGCAUCAUUUUAUUACCAUGUACAAGCCAGCUUCAUCGAUGCUUUGAUUUCACGUUAAAGGAAGCACUCCAGCCACCUAGGGAGGUGAAGAAACACCAGCACGCAGGCAGCCCCA